UACGGAGGGGGCUAGCGUUGUUCGGAAUUACUGGGCGUAAAGCGCACGUAGGCGGAUCGGUAAGUUGGGGGUGAAAUCCCAGGGCUCAACCCUGGAAUUGCCUUCAAAACUCCCGGUCUAGAGUUCGAGAGAGGUGAGUGGAAUUCCGAGUGUAGAGGUGAAAUUCGUAGAUAUUCGGAGGAACACCAGUGGCGAAGGCGGCUCACUGGCUCGAUACUGACGCUGAGGUGCGAAAGCGUGGGGAGCAAACAGG
rnacentral:rRNA from 1 species